AAAGAAACCAACCGGGAUUGCCCCAGUAACGGCGAGUGAAGCGGCAAGAGCUCAAAUUUGAAAUCUGGCCCCUCCGGGGUCCGAGUUGUAAUUUGCAGAGGAUGCUUCGGGUGCGGCCCCCGUCUAAGUGCCCUGGAACGGGCCGUCAGAGAGGGUGAGAAUCCCGUCCUGGGCGGGGUGUCCGUGCCCGUGUGAAGCUCCUUCGACGAGUCGAGUUGUUUGGGAAUGCAGCUCUAAAUGGGUGGUAAAUUUCAUCUAAAGCUAAAUACUGGCCGGAGACCGAUAGCGCACAAGUAGAGUGAUCGAAAGAUGAAAAGCACUUUGAAAAGAGAGUUAAACAGCACGUGAAAUUGUUGAAAGGGAAGCGCUUGCGACCAGACUCGCCCGCGGGGUUCAGCCGGCACUCGUGCCGGUGUACUUCCCCGUGGGCGGGCCAGCGUCGGUUUGGGCGGCCGGUCAAAGGCCUCCGGAAUGUAUCGCCCUCCGGGGCGUCUUAUAGCCGGGGGUGCAAUGCGGCCAGCCCGGACCGAGGGACGCGCUUCGGCACGGACGCUGGCAUAAUGGUCGUAAACGAC
rnacentral:rRNA from 1 species